ACUGUUGUUUUUCCUCUCCAUUCCUCUAUCCACGCAGCUGUGCAACAAGUUAUGGUGCAAGAACUUGGAUCCAGUUAGAAUGGAAUAAUUGGAGGACAUGUGUGAACCAGCAAUAUUAUGGGUGAUUCUUGAUCAGAACUCCAUUCACAAACUUCACCUGCCCUCUGGAAUUCCAGAUACCUGUGUGAAGUUGGAGUCAGUAGUUAGAGAGACAUUUCAGAUACAAGGGAACUUUACUCUACAUUACAAAGACACUGAGACACUGAUUUUGAUGAGUUCUUUUCGCUGACUUCAACAUCGGAGCUUAAAGAUAAAGACACUAUCAAAGUAGUGCAAAUUGAGCCAGUGAUAAUAAAUUUGACAACAAUUGACAGUUUAGAGUGUGCUGGCCCUUCUACCUCAGAUGUCCCAAUUUCCUCAGAUGACUGUUCAGUUGCCUCUUCAGCUCUUUCAUCAUUUGGCUCAUCAGAUGACACAGUAUUGCUCUCCUCUCCAGACAGUCAUGGACAAAGAUCACAGUCGUGGCCAUCACCAUUUGAAAUUCCGGAGUUUGCCUAUAACACUGAGCUGGUUCUGAAGUCUGCUAAUGAUGCGUUCAAAAACGACGGAACUCCUCUGAACAAUCCAAGUGUAAAGUCAGAUAUUCUGGAAAAAUUGGCAGAAAAAAUCUUCCAGUUUUGUGCAUAUCCAACCAGCCAGCAAAUUUCACCAGUUGCACAGGCAUUGAUCCAAAAGCAUCCUUGCCUAAAGGAGCCUGGGUCAUACUCCGGGUUCUAUGGAUGGCAGACAAGAUUAAAGUACAAGAUGGGGAACUAUCGGUCAAAAUUGAGAAGCCUAGGUUGCCCAGAAGUAGCUGUGAACUCGGUUAAAAAUAAAAAAAACAAAGAAAGCUGAAAUAAACUACCUACCUCUACACCCUUCUGGAGUCAAGGUACAGAGUCUAGAACAAGAACGGGUGGAGCUUCUUGAUGAGGUCAAGAUAAGGGAUAACUCGAGAAAUAUUAAUCAAAAAAUGGCCAGAAAUUUCUCCUACCGCCGUCAGGAGAUAGUGGAGAAUAGCCUUCUAUAGCGAGCAUUCAGGAAAGAUGGCCUGCUUUGUUCAACACCUCUCAGAUCAAAGAAGAAUUCAGGAGGUUAACAGCUGUUGAGCUGGAAGCAACAUUCAUGGCCAACCUGGACAAACACACAGAUGCACUCCUGUCUUUGUUUCGCGCCAAGGGAGGAAAAGCUGGACAGCAAAUUAGUGAAAUUUUGAAUAUGCUAAACCAGACCAGUCCUGUGGAAAAACGUAAAGAAGUUGUACUCCGAUGCUUAAUUGUCUACCUCUCGAAAAAUCCUGAGAAUCUCAUCAAGCAUUAUCAGCAGUGACUGAAUGAUUUUGAGAUCCAUCUUUUCACACUGAGGACAACUGAGGGACUCAAACACAACUAUUAAAAAAGGUUCAAACAUUCACUGAUGCUCCAGAAGGAAACACGAUGCAUUAAGAGCCGGGGGGUGAAAACUGGCAUCUUGGAGGAAUUAGACGGCAAAUAUGACAACCACGCAACCCAAAAACUUCUCCGAAUCAGCACUCUGCUUGAUCCCCACUACAGAGGAGGCUUUAAUUUGAACGAACUGGAGCAAACUAAGACAGAAAUGCUUAAUGCCAUCACAGAGUGCCGUCGAAUGAAAAAUCUUGAGAAUGCGGAAGAAAAACAAGCAAUCACCAUCGCUCAAGAGGUGCCUUUGAAGAAGAAAAAAAAAACACACACUGAGUGAUCUCCUGGGAAAGACCAAAAAACCACCUAUGAGUGAGGCGGAUCGGGCAGCGGCUGAGCUCGCGGCCUAUCUUUUGGAGGAUGUAAUAGACGGAGAGGAGAACCCACUUGCAUGGUGGAAAAAUAAUGAAAGCCGCUUCCCGCUCAUGUCUCUUGUAACGCUAAAAUUUUUGUGUGUAGGCUACCUGCAACAAGCAGUCCUUCAGAAAGGGUUUUUAGCGCAGCAGGUCAAAUUGUCACCCCAUUCCGUAAUGCUUUAACCCCGGAAAAGGUGAAUAUGCUUGUUUUCCUGUCUAACCUGCGUUAGAUUGUUUUGUUAGCUUAAUGUUUUAGAAACAUUAGGCUCAAUUAAAUAACUUUAUGGUGUUUGGAUUUUAUUUUAUUUAAAAAAAAAAUUGUCUAAAAACCGAAAUCAUUUGUUUUAAUUUUGAACGAUGAUUUUCAUUUUUGAUGAAUUGAAUGCUGAUUUUUUUUUUUUUUUUUUUUUUUUUUAUGAUUUCCAACUGUACGCAACUGUUAAGGUGAUUUAGUUAGGUUAAAUUAAAUAACUUGUCUUUUAGGUUAAAUUAAUUUGUGUCUGUUAAAAACCGAAGUCAUAUUUAUUUUAAUUUUGAUUGAUGAAUUUGAUUUUAAUGAUUUCCAUACGAAACUGUUAAGGUGAUUUGUUUUUCCUCCACAUAAAUACUUUGAUUUAAAAAGAAAAAUUGUUUAAUAGUCUACUGCAAUUUGUCUAAUUGAAUAUCCUUAUAGCAUUGUGUGAAUAAAAUAUUUGUUUAAAGGUUUCGCUUUCAUUUUCUUUUUAGCGUUAUCUUUUAAAUUUUACAGGUUUCGUUUGAUUAUUUAUAUUCUAUUAAUUAUAUUUUAAUAGCCUAUAAUAUUUCUGGAGCCGUUUAAAACUUGUAGCCAAGCUAUGUCGAGUUUAUUUGUA